GGAGCUGCGCCGGACCCGGGGGGAACAGCCAAGGGCAGCGCGGGGCAUACGGCGGGACACAGAGAGGCCCACACACGGAUGCACACAGCAAGACACACGUGCAGGCGCACACAGCAGAGCACACCGCACAGAUAUACACACACAGCUAAACACAGUAGGACACACACACAGCGCAGCAGGGUAGACAGCACACAGAUGCACACACAUACAUAUACAUGCACACAUGCACACAGCAGGACAUUGCCCAGGCACACACACAGCACACACACAAAGCACAGGGCUGUGUCAAAGGCAGCCUUCCUCCCCACCCCUUUGCUGGCCAGCAAGAGCCUGUCAGUCACAGCUCUGUGUUUGCCAGGGCUGAUCCCAAAAGGCGGUUGCAGAUGGCAGCUUGCAGCCGCAGCAGCUGCUUUGAAGUCACGGCAAAGACAGCGUUAAAAACAAAAAGGAAUAGGGUGGGCUGGGGGCAGAACUGGAGCAGGGAUGGGUCUGGUGGAGCCCACCCUGCAAUCACCUGGAAAGGCAGAUAUUGAAGGGGGAGCGGGGCAAGGGAGAGGAUGGUUCUUGUCUUUGCUUUUCUUUUUUUUCUGUUUAUAAAGUGGAUGGCUGGCAUGGGGUUUGCACCCUCUGCGUCUGUGCAUGGUGGAGAGAGCUGUUUACUGCUUGUUUAUUAUCCUGACUUUCCCUCACUGCCCCUCUGCUUUCCACCAUGAAUACGAAGACCUGAUCUGGUUAGAAGCCUAGGGAAGGACACACAGCUUUUCAGUGCACUGGGGGAAUUAUAUAAUUUGGGAUGACAGAAAGCAUUUAGCUAGAUUGUUUCAUUAAAAAGGACACUGCUGGAAAGCCCUUGGUGCAUGGUUUUUGCCCACUGCAGAGGUGAAAGGGGAAAAAAAAAUAAAAUUGCAGAGCAAAGCUGGGUUAAGCAGAUUGUCUGAGUCUUUUAAAUAGAUGCUGGUUCUAGUGUUGGACAGGUACUACUGCUAGCUGCUGCUUGUCUUGCCCUUGUGGGGAGGCCUCAGUGACUAGUAGUUUUCUAAGGCGUAUUUCUUCUCUCUCUCAUGCAAUCUACCUCUCCUCUUCUGCACCCAUUUACGUCUCUCCAUGUGGCAUCAUUGAAAAGCCUGGGCUGCUGCAACCUCUCCAGGAGCUAGUGAACUACUUGGUAGGCAGCAGCACCUACCACGUUUCCGAGGUAGCCUUGUGCUCCUAGCACUCUUAGAUGCUGUGGUAAGGUAUAGUCAUUAAAGGGUGGGUUUAUAAACAAAGCAAAACACCAUGGCCAGAAUCUGCAAGGUAGCUCUUUUGGGCCAUACGCUGACAAGAGAGAAGCAGUGAAAGAGGAAACAAAGAAUUUAACUUUCUAAGAAGGGACUGACUUUGUAACUGAGCUGUUCACUUGUAAGGAGCUGGUUGUAAUGUUUUGUUGGAUAUUUAGUUCAUUAGAGAGAGGCCAUGGUGAUGACUACUGUGUAAAAAGGUUAUAGAGCAGCGUUUCCUAACCUUUUUCACCCCAUGGCACACAUACAUGGCCUUCCUCACCCCACAGCAUACUGGCCGAGCAGGGGGAGGUGGCGGGGGGUGGUGGAAAUCGGGUGGUGAGCGGCGGAACACCACAGAGUGGCAGAAAGUGGGUGGCGCGGCUUUUGAAUCACUGGCUGGAGCCACGGCCCCCUGUUUGUCUGUCUGCCUGCAGCAGGCGGGUGGCAUGGCUCCAGCCAGGUGGGGGUGUGUGGCUCCAGCCAAAAAUGCCACGGCACUCCUGGACGUACCUGAUGGCACACCGGUUGGGAACCACUGCUAUAGAGAAGGCUGUUGCUGUUAUGCAUUAAACCAGCUGAAGUUAGUUGUGAAUAAGAAUUCACAUUUCCUCCCCACCAAGUGAAGUCCCCCACCCCUUCUGCUGAUGGUAUACUGAGCUCUGCUUUGGCCACCAGCAAAAGAUAAAUCCCAUGGUAUCCUGGCUUUUUAAUCUUAUUUAAAUAUAUCUUCCCUUCUUGUUGUUAAGUAGCUGCACCUGCACAAAACAUUAAUUGUUUUGACUUGAUAGAACAGGAUUACAUCUUCCUUCCUUGCCUGUUUUUUUAAUUCAAGGUGCAUAUUAAUUUAAGCAUCUCAAUGAGGUGGUGUAAACUCUGUCUCUUUGUUAACUAUACAUGCCAAUUGAAACCCCAUUGAGCACCAAGUAGAACAGAGUACAACACAGUACAAACUGGACCUGAAAGUAUAUUUUGGCAGGACAACAUGUAAGAUGCUGGUAUGUGCAACUAGUACAGUUACUGAAUGCUUCUUAACAAAAACUUAUCCUUCCACAAAUUGCUCGCGUGCUCUCCAGAGGAAUUUUAUAUCUACUCCUUCAGCUUCACAUGCAAGCAAAGCUGCAGCACUAUUAAUUCAAUACCUUGGUCUAAGAGCGCAUAAUUGGGUAUGAUGUGAUAUGUACCACAUCUGGUACAAUAAAUAAUCUGCCAAGAUAUCCUUACCUUGAUUCUCUUUAUUAUUGUUUGAAAUAAAGUCUCAAUUUUAAAUGUAAGCAGUUCACAGUUCCAAAAAAUAGACAGGUAUGCACACCAACGUACCUAUCUAACAACUGUACCUUCCCUACUGAUUCCCAUUUUCCAUCAGUCCCGCUCAGUCUCCAAAACAGAAAACAAACAGAAAGAAAGAAAGAAAGAAAGAAAGAAAGAAAGAAAGAAAGAAAGAAAGAAAGAACGCUUCACGAAUUUGCGUGUCAAGAAAGAAAGAAAGAAAGAAAGAUUCAAUUUUUGGUUACAUCACAAGUUCCCUUUACUGUGGGCAUGAAAGAAAGAAAGAAGGUGCAUCUCAAGUAGAGCCAAGGAGCUGAUCCUCCCCCUCUACGCAACACUGGUGAAGCCACAGUUGGAGUACUGUGUCCAGUUCUGGGUACCCCACUUCAAGAGGGAUGUGGACAACAUUGAGAGGGUCCAGAGGAGGGCCACCCGCAUGAUCUGGGGACAGCAGGGCAGACCCUACAAUGAGAGGCUGCGGGACCUGAACCUGUUCAGCCUUCACAAGAGAAGGCUGAGGAGGGACCUGGUGACCAUCUAUAAACUCACUAGGGAGGACCAGAAGGGUUUGGGGGAGACCUUGUUUCCCCUAGCACACCCCGGGAUAACAAGGAAUAACGGCCACAAGUUGUUGGAGAGUAGGUUUAGAUUAGAUAUCCAUAGGAACUACUUAACAGUUAGGGCGGCUAGGAUAUGGAACCAACUUCCAAGGGAAGUGGUGCUGGCUCCUACCCUGGGGGUCUUUAAGAAGCAGCUUGAUGCCUACCUGACUGUGGUCAGUUGAGCCCAGUUUUCCUCCUGCCCAGGCAGCGGGUCGGACUUGAAGAUCUACAAGGUCCCUUCCGACCCCUACUUCUAUGAUUCUAUGAAACAAACAACCCCUCUCUCCCUCCCCCUCCCCCCCCCCGCCAAAACAAAAGCACAAUGAUGCUCAUAAGGCUUAUUGACUAACCUUGUUUCAGAACCCAUUAAAGUCAAUAAAGAGACUCCCAGCAA